GAGCUUGCCUGGUGUAGUGGUUUGAAUGUUGGACUACAACUCUGGAGACCAGGAUUCGAAUCCCUGCUGGUCCA
rnacentral:tRNA from 1 species